CCAGCAGCCGCGGUAAUUCCAGCUCCAAUAGCGUAUACUAAUUUUGCUGCAGUUAAAAAGCUCGUAGUUGAAUGUGUGGUAGGUGUUGACCGGCCCUGCGCUUUUGCGCUGUUGGCUGUGUCGACGCUGGCCAUCCUGGUCGUGCUUUGUGCGACCUCGUUUACUGUAAAUAAAUCAGGAUGUUUCAAGUAGGCCUUCUGGCCUGAAUGUACUAGUAUGGAAUAAUAAGAUAGGACUCUUGGUCUAUUUUGUUGGUUUGUAACUGAGAGUAAUGAUGAAUAGGGACAGUUGGGGGUAUUCGUAUUUAGAUGUCAGAGGUGAAAUUCUUGGAUUUUCGAAAGACGAACAACUGCGAAAGCAUUUACCAUGGAUGUUUUCAUUAAUCAAG
rnacentral:rRNA from 1 species